AUGAAGAUUGGAAAGACUACAGAGAUCCUGAAGAAAGCGGCGGCGAUGUGCAAGAGCAAGACCACCAGGCUCCUCAUCCUCGCCUCGCUCCAGCGUCGCAGGAUGGCCGCUGCCGCCGUGGUCUCUCACAAGAUCCACACGCGCAUUGUGGCUGACCGAAAUAGAGUGGACUGCCACAAGCCUCUCGCGCUGCGAACCAUCGAGAAGAGACCGGUGAUCGUCCAUGGGGGUGACUUGGCAGACAAUAUCUCUCAUCAGUUGGCGAUGUUAACUCAAGAGGAUGGUCAUGGUGGCUGCCCAGCUGACUGGACACUGCAUCCGCUCUUCAACGACGACCACAUCAACUGCUGUUACACUAAUGAUGAUGAUGUGCUACUGGAUGCCUGCGAUCAAGAAGACAACGAUGAACUCUCCGUCAUGGAUGUGAUCAGGAGCAACCGAGAGGUUGAGGGUUUGGAGUCCAACAUGGAGGAGGAGAUUGACAUGGCUGCCGAUAUGUUCAUCAGGAGGUUUCGGCAGCGGCUGAAUAAUGGAUUCUAG
rnacentral:rRNA from 1 species